rnacentral:rRNA from 1 species
CUCCGUAGGUGAACCUGCGGAGGGNUCANUACACAAAUAUGAAGGCGGGCUGGAACCUCUCGGGGUUACAGCCUUGCUGAAUUAUUCACCCUUGUCUUUUGCGUACUUCUUGUUUCCUUGGUGGGUUCGCCCACCACUAGGACAAACAUAAACCUUUUGUAAUUGCAAUCAGCGUCAGUAACAAAUUAAUAAUUACAACUUUCAACAACGGAUCUCUUGGUUCUGGCAUCGAUGAAGAACGCAGCGAAAUGCGAUAAGUAGUGUGAAUUGCAGAAUUCAGUGAAUCAUCGAAUCUUUGAACGCACAUUGCGCCCUUUGGUAUUCCAAAGGGCAUGCCUGUUCGAGCGUCAUUUGUACCCUCAAGCUUUGCUUGGUGUUAGGCGUCUUGUCUCUAGCUUUGCUGGAGACUCGCCUUAAAGUAAUUGGCAGCCGGCCUACUGGUUUCGGAGCGCAGCACAAGUCGCACUCUCUAUCAGCAAAGGUCUAGCAUCCAUUAAGCCUUUUUUUCAACUUUUGACCUCGGAUCAGGUAGGGAUACCCGCUGAACUUAAGCAUAUCA